rnacentral:rRNA from 1 species
GACGAACCGUGCGAACGUUGUUCGGAAUCACUGGGCUUAAAGGGCGCGUAGGCGGGCCGCCGCGUCCGAGGUGAAAUCCCCCCGCUCAACGGGGGGACGGCCUCGGAUACGGGCGGCCUGGAGGCGGGUAGGGGCACGCGGAACUGUGGGUGGAGCGGUGAAAUGCGUUGAGAUCGGAAGGAACGCCCGCGGCGAAAGCGCGGUCCUGGACCCCACCUGACGCUGAGACGCGAAAGCCAGGGGAGCGAACGGG